GAGUCGAUUAAUCUCUUUCAUUACCGAAUAUUCCCUACCUUUCCUCACCAUCACAUUCUUCCCACACAAAUUCCCGCAAAUCAACCAAAUUCACUCAAUCAAUAUCUCUAAUCUAUCUCUCUCUCUCUUUAUCUUUUGUUUUGUUUUCUUCACCUUCUACAUCAAACAUCUUCUGUUGUUUGGCAUAACUAAAUCCUUGCCGAGAAAAAUGAUAUCCCAACGGCAACUAGGUGCGAAGGUCCUAGUCUCCUCUGACAAUCCCAAUGUUUUGAUUUUUGGAUUAUUAUAGUUUGUGAAACCCUUGAUGAUAUCAAGAUGCAUCUCUCUGACACCGAGUACGACCCUUAUCUCCAAAACGUAAAUAAUGUAGGUACAAUAAAUAAAAACGAUAGAAUUUGGGAGGUUCCUGUUGAAGAGUUUGAAAUUAUGAUUGAUGUUAAUUUAAAAGGGAUUGUAAAUGUGUUACGCCAUUUUAUCUCGUUGAUGCUUCCAAAAAGUCGAAGGGUUACUGUUAAUAUUUCUUCUGGAUACGGGAAGAUAUGGUGCUGCUUUGGUUGUACCAUACUGUGCAUCAAAAUGGGCAGUUGAAGGUUUAAACAGAGCAUUAACAAAUGAGAUGCCUUGUGGAUUUGCUGUUGUAGCACUUAGUCUUGGUGCGAUAAAUACCGAGAUGCUCCAAUCUUGCUUCGAAAAUUCAGCCUUGGGAUAUCAGACACCUGAUGCAUCCUUCUUCACCAUAGCUGAAAUUUUCAAGCUCUCCACAGCUAGGGUUUGUUCAACUUUCAAGUUUGAUUUGCUCAUAAAGCUUGCGAAGGUUGGAGGAUUCGGUCAGAGUAAGAUCACACUAUCCACAAAUCUCCUUUUGGUAUAGCUAAAUGAUUCAUUUUGGUAUAGUGGCAUGUAUAAGCUAUUUGGAAUAGAUGAAGGCUUGUAAGUAAUAUUUUGUGACUUAACCAUUAGAAUGGCAAAGGAUGUUCAAGUGGUACAUGUAUGAUGUUAAUGUACGUCCAAAUUCUUAAGUGUCAAGUAUGGUUGAUGAUACAUUUUGUAAAUAGGCAUUGAAAUUGUCGAACAUUGGUUUAAUUUUAUAUGCAUAUGAUGAUGUCUUUCAUGGAUGUGGAAAUUGCAUGGUAUGAGUUAAUAAGUAUGUAAAUGAUGUGUGGAUCCCUUGGUUGUGGCUGAAUUGGUUGUAUGUUUAUACUUGGAAUGGUAUUACAUGUUGUUGUAAAGGUUGUGCAUGGAAGGGUGGCAAAAAGGCUUGGUAAAUAGCCUUAUUUUUGUCCACAUGGGUAGAUACACGGGCACGUGUCUAGGCCGUGUGUGACACAUGACUUGCCUCAUGAGUGUAUGUUCUGGUCGUGUGUCCCCUACACCUUAAUUGUUGCAAAAUGGAAUGCUCAGUAUCGAGCACACAGGCAAAGACACGGGCAUGUGUCUCAGUCGUGUGGAUGGCACGACCUUGAACACGGGCGUGUGCCCUGGCCAUGUAAAGUCUGAACUAUUUUAUGAAAAAUUCUGAAAAUUAUUCGACCACACGGCCUAAGCACACGGGCAUGUGCCUUGGCCGUGUGACUUCAAUUUGUUAAUGACAUCAUAAACAGAGAGUUACACGGGUUGGGGACACGGGCGUGUGUGACCACACGGCCUGCCUACACAGGGGUGUCCCAAGCCACACGGGUGUGUGACCCCUAUUUAGUGAAAAUUUUCUAAGCGUUGUAAAAUUUUCUAAAGUUCUCGGUUUAGUCCCGAACCACUUUCAAUGUAUGUUUUGAGUCUCGUAGGCUCAUUUUAGGGACAAAAUGAAUGUUUAUGGAAAGUUUUAAAUUUGAUUGGAAAUUCGUGUCUCGAUUUUGAAUGUUUGUUUAAAUUUAAGUCCGUUAAUGCCUCGUGCCCUAUUCCAGUGUCGAAUACGAGUAAGGGGUGUUACAGUAAGGUCUUUUUUUGGCUGAAAAUUAUAAGUGUUUACUUGCAACGACCCAUUUAGUAUUGCUAGUACAUCGAAGGUCAAUUUGUAUCAAACUUUUUCGUAACUUUGAAGCUAGUUACUUCGAGUACGGAUAAUUGUAUGAUAAAAUAUUAUGUUGAAUUCUGAUACUUUUCUAGAUCUUGUUUAUUUACUUGUUGUUGUCUUUAAUCAUAUGGUCAUAGUUUGAUGCUAUGGAAUUUAUCUCUUGCAUUAGAGAACCUUAUUUUGGAAUGCCAGUUAUUGAAAGAAACCCAUACUGUGACCUAUAAUUGUGUCAUUGACUAUAUUACUCGUAUACUUAUGGUACAGAUAUGUCAAAAUUUUUUUUAAUUUUUCAAUGUAUUUGGAAGAUCUUUGAAUUGUUAUAUUUUUAUAUUCAUGUUCAAAUACUUGCCGGAUAUAACACGGUUAUUCAAUUAAAAAUAAGGAGGGAAAGCACUGUUUGUAUUAUCUAGCGUGUUACUUUGCUUUUUCGAACCAAUUAUAAUGUUUUAAGGUACCAUUGGGUGUUAUCUAGCGUGUUACUCUGUUGUAAACUCAUUCUCUCUGGCUUGACUAUGCUAAUUUACUUUAGGUAUUAGGUUUGUUUGAAUGUUUUAUCUGAAAUGCUAUUUUAUGUUAAACAAUUAUCCCUAUGGCUAUAAGGAACUUGUUGUGUGUGGGGAUAUUAACUAGGUUUGUUUCACAUAUUAUUCUUAGAUGAAGCUACUUUGAGUUCUUAGUCUUUUGCUUCAUUUGUUGUCUAGGUCCAUGUUGCGAUGGAAAAAUAUCCUCCCUACCUAUCAACUUUCUCCAAACUAUCUUAUGAAGAGAGCCAAAUGCUUGACAAGGAGGAAGUGAAAAGGCUUUGCCUAGCUUUUGAGCAACAAGUUUAUAUUUUAUUUCUCAAGCAUGAAAAUAUCUUUGUUAAUAACAAUAAUCAAAGAAAAGCACAACAAUGACAUAUGAUUGAUUUUUUUCUUUAUAUUUCCUAUUUUCUUUAUCAAAUAAAUAAUGCAUCAAAUUUCACUUGUAGUUCCAUUAUAGUGUUUUCUUUGUAUACACGAGAUUAAAAGAGCAAAAGAUCAGGAACCUGAUGUGGAUUUUUGAA